CAGGCCUAACACAUGCAAGUCGAACGGGAUCCAUCCAGGCUUGCUUGGGUGGUGAGAGUGGCGAACGGGUGAGUAAUGCGUGACGUACCUGCCCCAUACUUCGGAAUAGCUCCUGGAAACGGGUGGUAAUGCCGGAUGCUCCAACAUGCUUCAUGGUGUGUUGGGAAAGCGUUAGCGGUAUGGGAUGGUGUCGCGUCCUAUCAGCUUGAUGGCGGGGUAACGGCCCACCAUGGCUUCGACGGGUAGCCGGCCUGAGAGGGCGACCGGCCACAUUGGGACUGAGAUACGGCCCAGACUCCUACGGGAGGCAGCAGUAGGGAAUAUUGGGCAAUGGGCGAGAGCCUGACCCAGCCAUGCCGCGUGCAGGAAGAAGGCUUUCUGAGUCGUAAACUGCUUUUGAUAGGGAAGAAUAAGCUGCUCGUGAGCAGUGAUGACGGUACCUACAGAAUAAGCACCGGCUAACUCUGUGCCAGCAGCCGCGGUAAU
rnacentral:rRNA from 1 species